UAACAGCCACUUGCGGCUGCCACUUAUUGUUGUGAUUUAUUUGUUUUUUUUUUAUGUCCAACAUUAAAUUACCUAACUUAUGAAUAAUAAAAAAUAAAAUAAAAUAAUACAAGGCUGUUAAACAGCCAUUCCGAACGCAGCCCUUGAGGCAGAUGUAAAUGUUCUUUUUUUUUAUUUUGUCAACAGCCAACUAAUUAUAUUUAAAGCCCAAACUACUAACUAAACCCUAAGUAUUUAUUUCUAGUGAAACCCUAAAUGAGUUUUUGUUACAGCCGUUCAACAUCAUCCCUCUCAAAUGUCCUUGCACUUCAUCUUCUCCAACAAACCAAACCCCAGCCCCUUUUCCCUGCUCUCUCCCUCUCGUUCAUGUAUCCGACAACCGGAGCCGGAAUUUCGGCCGAGCUCCGGCAUUCCUGUCUUCUCCGGCAAACCCCCACCCCUUCACAACCAUCUCCCUCACACUCACCCCUCCUCUCUCGACUCUCGCUCUGAUGAACGAAUGGUCGGCCACCAUCAUCGGUGGCGGCGCUCGGUGACGGCGACAGAACCACCUCAGCGGCAGCGUAGUUGUGGGUGGCGUUUCAGUGGUGGUUGCGGUCAAGAGACGGUGGUUACGGGCAGUGGCAGCGGCGACGACAAAGACGAUGGUUCUGCCGUUCUUUUUCGGAUAACCGCUCUCGUUCGUUCUCUUGGACUUCCGUUUACUCAUGCACCAUCGUUUGCCCAUAUAGGGUGACCGCGGUGUUCCAUCCUCUUAAACUCGUACGCUCGUCAACACUUGGAUAAUCGGAAGAUUUAGCAAUUAUGUUGAUUAAUGAAGUAUGGAUGAUUGAUGAAACAAGUUUAGGGUGGACUAGA